rnacentral:rRNA from 1 species
CUACGGGGUGCUGCAGUCGAGAAUCUCCCGCAAUGGACGAAAGUCUGACGGAGCGACGCCGCGUGCGGGAUGAAGGCCUUCGGGUUGUAAACCGCUGUCAGUGGGGAGGAAAUGCAUCAGGGUUCUCCCUGGUGUUUGACCGAUCCGCAGAGGAAGCGCAGGCUAAGUUCGUGCCAGCAGCCGCGGUAACACGAACUGCGCGAACGUUAUUCGGAAUCACUGGGCUUAAAGAGUUCGUAGGCGGCCUUUCAAGUCGGGUGUGAAAUCCCUCGGCUCAACCGAGGAAUUGCGCCUGAUACUGUUGGGCUUGAGGGGGAUAGGGGUGAGCGGAACUGAUGGUGGAGCGGUGAAAUGCGUUGAUAUCAUCAGGAACACCGGUGGCGAAGGCGGCUCACUGGAUCUCUUCUGACGCUGAGGAACGAAAGCUAGGGGAGCGAACGGGAUUAGAUACCCUGGUAGUC